rnacentral:rRNA from 1 species
GACGAACGCUGGCGGCGUGCCUAAUACAUGCAAGUAGGACGCAGUUGCGAACGGGUGAGUAACGCGUAGGUAACUACCUAUUAGAGGGGGAUAACUAUUGGAAACGAUAGCUAAUACCGCAUACUAGUAGAUGGACCUGCGUUUUAUUAGCUGGUAGGUAGGGUAAUGGCCUACCUAGGCAACGAUACAUAGCCGACCUGAGAGGGUGCUAGGCCACACGGGGAAUUGGACACGGCGCAGACUCCUACGGGAGGCAGCAGUAGGGAAUCUUCGGCAAUGGGGGGAACCCUGACCGAUCCACGCCGCGUGAGUGAAGAGGGUUUUCGGAUCGUAAAGCUCUGUUGUUAAGGAAGCGGUACUUAACCAGAAAGGUACGGCUAACUACGUGCCAGCAGCAGCGGUAAUAC